rnacentral:tRNA from 1 species
ACCUGGCCAGCUCCAUUGGAAGAGCACGUGACUCUUGAUCUUGGGGUCAUGAGUUCGAACCCCAUGUUGGGUG